GGGUUUCUUAAAGACUACUGGGGAUCGGAAGCACCAGAGCGCUCAGCGCCUCCGGUGUUGCCAGGUGUAUUCUGAUUUUUUGCAAAAAAGUCCUUCAUGUUGCUAGAAAUUAUCAUGUAGGUCCUCUAUCCCCUUCUCCCUCUCUUCUCCCCGCCGCCGCCCGUCGCGACUCGCCUGCGCACGGGGAAGGCCCUUCAAUCCCAUCAGAACAUGCUACCGGCCCUCCCAUGGCAGGGAGCCGCCGCCCUCAUCAGCCAAGGGAAACGGCCGGGAGCGCCACCGCCCCGCCCCCAUCGGCCUCCCUGUCGGCGCAAGGGCCGGGCUGGGGCGCCGCCGCCCCACCCCCAUCAGCCUCCUGGUCGGUGCCAGGGCCGGGCAAAGGUGCCGCCACCCCAAAUCAGCGCGAUGGCCGGGCAGGAGUGCUGGCGCCCCCUGGCAGCGUGACGCCUGGGAGGGUUGCCGCCGCCGGCCCUAGCAGCGCGAGGCGUUGAAGGGCUGUCGCCGCCCCCCGGUGUGCCUCCUCCCUCUCGCUCCAGCUCCAAAUCCUAGCAGCACUUCCUCGGCAGUGCAGGGGAGCGCGUGGAGGCGCAUGAGAUCCAAUGGUACGCAGAUCAGGCAGCCAUGGUCGACAACGGAGGGGGAAACACCUCGCCAUCCUCCUUGCCUUCCCUGAAGCACCCCAAGCCCAUCAAAAGGACUCUUCCUUUGCAAGCAAGGUGAAGAAAAUAGUUGUACUGGGUGGAGCAUUCUUUGCGGCUGACUGAAGAAAAUAGUUGUACAGAAUUUACAGGUUGCGGAGGUUCCUGGAUGGAUUAUUGAUGGUGGUGCUCUGUGUAAGUAGCUAGAGAUGACCUUAAUGCGCUGAAAUUUGUUUGAGUUGGUAGCUGGCUGCUAGAUUCUUCUUUCAGUUAUUCUUCGUGGUGGCCUGACAUUUGUUCUAGCUUCCGUCUUUCUUUUUCCUUAGCUCUUGCACUGUGUUAAAGUUCGUAUCUAUGGUCUAAUACUGAUGAAGUAGUGGGUGCACCUUUCAUUAUGAUGAACUGUUGCUGCCAUUACACAUGAGAGACUUGGUUCAUUUAUCAUUUGAUAAAUCCAAUUAGUUGGCCAUGUGAUUGUGGCCAGAUGAAUGUCCUGGUACUUGAGAAAUUGGUGACAUAUUACCAUUUUGAUUUUUGUUAAGCCAUGUAGAUAUAUGUUA